UAACACCGUGCCACUCUAUCCCUUUUCCUCUUUCCUUUAUUUUCUCUCCAUUUUUCCUGAUCGCACACCUCUCCCCUGUUUCUUCAUUUUCAACCGAAACCCAUCCCCCUUUUCAUUUUCUUUUACAAACCAAGAGAUUGAGAGAGAGACAUCGUGAACUCGAGAGAGAGACCCGAUCCUUCCGGACCAGACGACGCCGGUGGAGCCAGUGAACCCAAUCGCCGGUGGGUCCACGCCGGAGGAGCUAGGAGGAUGCGAUUUCCAGGGGGUUUUUGGUGAUUCAAAUAAAAUCCUCUAGUCAUUGAUGCUUUGGUUGUAGGUACUCCUGUCGUAGUUGGCAAUCUCGUAGCAGUACUCAAGAUAUUAUGACUAAAGCUUGUUACGACGGUCGUAAUGGUUAGACCAUGGGUGUCCACUAUUUUAUAGGUUAUAUAAAUAGCUUGUGACGCUUGUGUCGCUUAAUCUUUGUAAAGCCAUUCCUUGAUAUAAAUAUUAUGUUGAUAAUACUUAAACAGAUAGAUGUUAUAUGGCUUUGUUGUCAAUUUGUGAUAAAUGUGUAUGUUGUGAUUUCUACUA